UACGAAGGGGGCUAGCGUUGUUCGGAAUCACUGGGCGUAAGGGCGCGUAGGCGGCCGUUCAAGUCGGGGGUGAAAGCCUGUGGCUCAACCACAGAAUUGCCUUCGAUACUGGACGGCUCGAGACCGGAAGAGGUCAGUGGAACUGCGAGUGUAGAGGUGAAAUUCGUAGAUAUUCGCAAGAACACCAGUGGCGAAGGCGGCUGACUGGUCCGGUUCUGACGCUGAGGCGCGAAAGCGUGGGGAGCAAACAGG
rnacentral:rRNA from 1 species